rnacentral:lncRNA from 1 species
GUUGUUGGGUGGGUGGGUGGUGUGUUGUGUUUUUUUUUUCUCUUCACUCCCUUUCAAGCUAAGGAGAGUUUUCCGAGUUGUAAACAGAUAAAUCAAAGGCGAACAGAGAGGGAAAACUCAAACAAAUAUUAUUUUCUACCUCUCCCCGCUUUCUGUGGAGCGGUUGAUGCUCUGAAGGGUCAUCCCAAGCGGCUUUUAGCUAAGAGCUGGAGCCACGGAUCUCCCCUCCACCCAGAAAAAAAAUAAAACUUUUGCCAAAUUGUAACUGUUUUUCCAAGCGAUUCGGAGGGGGAACCCCCCCCCCACCAGAGGGCAAACUUUAGAGAGAUUCGUCAUGGUUAAUCAAGGAAUGCUUAAAUUGUUAAGAUAGUUGCCUUGAAUUCUGAACAAAUAAAAUACAGCCUCUUUUCCCCCUUUCUUCCAAACACGUAAUGGAGAAACGUUGAUCGGUUUUGCUCUAGGAUAAAUUCUGCUUCGUAUGGCCAGCCCAUUUUCCUUACAAUUUGCAGGAGCAGUUGGUGGAGAAAGAAAAAAAAGAAGUCUCCUUGGAUCAUAUGGCACAAUUGUCAGUAUGGCUAUAAUUUUGAUAGCUUCAGAAGAAAAAUCAGUAGGGAAUUUUGAUGGAUUUAUCUCAGGGUUGAACCUUGCCUGUAAGCUAGGAAAUCAGUAUCUAAAAGGGAAAAGAGAAAAAAAGAAAAAAGAUCCUGCAUAUUUCUGUAUGGUUUCUUCAUCACCUGCCAGGAUAAUUUAUUUUUAAAUAACUGGUCCAUUUUCAUGUUUGCAAUACUAAUGAAAUGGCACACUUUACACUACUACAAUUCUUGGAAAUGCUACACAUUAUUAUACCUUGGGAGAGGUUAAUGAGAUGUUUUCUAAAUGUAAAUGUCUCUGAAAUUAAUGUUUGAACAGUCUACUUUAGAAGUUUCUGUUAAUUCUGAAGUAAUUCAAUUAAGGGACAAUUUGUUUUUCUGAAACAGCCAGAAAGUCCUGCUAAAGAACAGCAUAUAGCUAUUUUAGUAACAGUCCUUAAUGUGAACAAUAUUUUAUUAGAAAAUAAAAUUAUUUCCAUCCACUGUGUCA